GGCACUAUGGCCGAGUGGUUAAGGCGAGAGACUCGAAUGAAAUAAAAGUUCGGCUAUCUCUUGGGCUCUGCCCGCGCUGGUUCAAAUCCUGCUGGUGUCG
rnacentral:tRNA from 1 species